rnacentral:rRNA from 1 species
UUUUGAAAGACUUAGAUUAAAUAAGUUUUUCUUUUUAGGGAAAAAGAGUCAAAAGAGCCUAUAGCUCAGUUGGUUAGAGCACACGCCUGAUAAGCGUGAGGUCGGUGGUUCAAGUCCAUUUAGGCUCACCAAUAUAAUUUUUACUUAAAAAAAGUUCUUUGAAAAGUAGAUAAACGUAACUUUAAAAAUUCAAAUAAAAAAUUGAAGGAAUUAAGGGCAUACAGUGGAUGCCUUGGCACUAAGAGCCGAUGAAGGACGCAAUUAACGGCGAUACGCCAUGGGGAGUUGUAAAUAAAUGUAGAUCCAUGGAUUUCCGAAUGGGGCAACCUACUACAAUAAACUUGUAGUUUUUUGAUUAAUAAAUCAAAAAGGGAACGCAGUGAACUGAAAUAUCUAAGUAACUGUAGGAAAAGAAAGUAAUAACGAUUCUGCUAGUAGUGACGAGCGAACGCGGAACAGCCAGAUACCACUUAACUAGUUAUAAAAUAAAAAAUAACUUGAAGUUUUUGGAAAGAAACACCCAAGAAGGUGAUAGUCCUGUAAAGAAACUUUUUUAUCUAGGGUAUCAAAAAGUACGGCGAGACACGAGAAAUCUUGUCGGAAGAUAGGAGGACCAUCUCCUAAGGCUAAAUACUCCUUAGUGACCGAUAGUGAACUAGUACCGUGAGGGAAAGUGAAAAGAACCCCGGGAGGGAGUGAAUAGAUCCUGAAACUGUAUGUCUACAAUUAGUCAGAAUUCGUUAAUGAGUGAUGGCUUGCCUUUUGCAGAAUGAACCGGCGAGUUAUGAUAUAGAGCAAGGUUAAGUUUUAAGGAACGUAGCCUUAGCGAAAGCGAGUUUUAAAAGAGCGUUUAGUUGUAUGUCAUAGACCCGAAACUGAAGUGAGCUAGCCAUGAGCAGGUUGAAGUGUGGUUAAUCCCACAUGGACCAACCGAACCAGGACACGUUGAAAAGUGUUUGGAUGACUUGUGGCUAGGGGUGAAAUUCCAAUCGAACUCAGAGAUAGCUGGUUCUCCUCGAAAUAGCUUUAGGGCUAGCGUUGAUUUAAUAUUUUCAUGAAGGUAGAGCACUAAAUGAUUGAUGGCUCCACCUCGGGGUACUGAUAUCAAUUAAACUCCGAAUGUUAUGAAAAAAAUAUCAGCAGUCAGACUAUGGGUGAUAAGGUCCAUGGUCAAAAGGGAAAGAGCCCAGACCGUCAGCUAAGGUCCCUAAAUUAAUGUUAAGUGAAAAAGGAAGUGAAGAUGUUUAAACAGCUAGGAAGUUGGCUUAGAAGCAGCCAUCUUUUAAAGAGUGCGUAAUAGCUCACUAGUCUAAUGACUUUGCGCCGAAAAUUUAACGGGACUUAAACAUUAUACCGAAGCUACGGAUAUUAAUUAAUAUAAUUGAAUAUGGUAGAGGAAGCGUUCUGAUGUCGUUGAAGCUAUAGCGGAAGCAGUGGUGGAGAAAUCAGAAGUGAGAAUGCCGGUGUAAGUAACGAAAAGAUAGGUGAGAAUCCUAUCCGUCGAAAACCCAAGGUUUCCAGGGGCAGGUUCGUCCGCCCUGGGUUAGUCAGGUCCUAAGGCGAGGUAGAAAUACGUAGUCGAUGGCAAGCAGGCUAAAAUUCCUGCACUAAAAAAACAACUGAUGGAGGGACAAAGAAGGCUAAGCACGCCCUUUAUUGGAUUAGGGUCAAAGGAUCGAGUUUGAAAAGAUAGGCAAAUCCGUCUUUUUAUUCCAAAAAAUGAGAUUCAAGGGUAACGUGACUGAUGUCAUACUUUCAAGAAAAGCUUCUAGGGUUAAUUGUUUUUUUACCUGUACCGUAAACCGACACAGGUGGGAAGGUAGAGAAUACUAAGACGCGCGAGAAAACUCUUGUUAAGGAACUCGGCAAAAUUGCUCCGUAACUUCGGGAUAAGGAGAGCUUUUAUUUAAAAGUUAAAAGCCACAGAAAAGAAGCCCAAGCGACUGUUUAUCAAAAACAUAGGUCUCUGCUAAACCGUGAGGUGAUGUAUAGGGGCUGAUGCCUGUCCGGUGCUGGAAGAUUAAAAGGAGAUGUUCGGGUUAAACCAAAGCAUUGAAUUGAAGUCCCAGUGAACGACGGCCGUAACUAUAACGGUCCUAAGGUAGCGAAAUUCCUUGUCGGGUAAAUUCCGACCUGCCCGAAAGGCAUAACCGAUUUGGNCGCUGUCUCAACAAGAGUCUCGGUGAAAUCAAACUAUCGGUGAAAAUGCCGAUUACCCGCGACAGGACGAAAAGACCCCAUGGAGCUUUACUGUAACUUAAUAUUGAUUUUGAGAAAUUCAUGUACAGAAUAGGUGGGAGACUGAGAUUUUUAGACGCUAGUUUAAAAGGAGUCGCCUUUUGGGAUACCACUCUUGAAUUUUUUAUACUCUAACCUACGCAAGUGUAUUGCGAGGGACAGUGUUUGGUAGGCAGUUUGACUGGGGCGGUCGCCUCCUAAAGAGUAACGGAGGCGUUCAUAAGGUUCCUUCAAAAUGGUCGGAAAUCAUUUAGAGAGUGUAAAGGCAUAAAGGAGCUUAACUGCGAGACCUACAAGUCGAGCAGAGACGAAAGUCGGACUUAGUGAUCUUGCGAUACCGAAUGGAAGGGUCGUGACUCAACGGAUAAAAGCUACCCUGGGGAUAACAGGCUUAUCGCUUCCGAGCGUUCACAGCGACGAAGCGGUUUGGCACCUCGAUGUCGGCUCAUCGCAUCCUGGAGCUGGAGAAGGUUCCAAGGGUUGGGCUGUUCGCCCAUUAAAGCGGAACGCGAGCUGGGUUCAGAACGUCGUGAGACAGUUCGGUCUCUAUCCGUCGUGGGCGUUGGAAAUUUGAGAGAGCUGUCCCUAGUAUGAGAAGACCGGGAUGGAUAUACCGCUGGUGUUUCAGUUGGUUCGCCAGAGCCAUAGCUGAGUAGCUACGUAUAGAAAGGAUAAACACUGAAAGCAUCUAAGUGUGAAGCCUCCUUUAAGAUGAGAUUUCCCUAUGAGAUCCCUGAAAGACUAUCAGGUUGAUAGGCUAGAAGUGUAAGAAAAGUGAUUUUUUGAGCUUACUAGUACUAAUAGAUCCAUUGACUUUGAUUU